GAUGAAGAACGCAGCGAAAUGCGAUAAGUAGUGUGAAUUGCAGAAUUCAGUGAAUCAUCGAAUCUUUGAACGCACAUUGCGCCCCAUGGUAUUCCGUGGGGCAUGCCUGUUCGAGCGACAUUUACCCCCUCAAGCUCCGCUUGGUGUUGGGCGUCUGUCCCGCUUCGCGCGCGGACUCGCCCCAAAGGUAUUGGCAGCGGUCGUGCCAGCUUCUCGCGCAGCACAUUGCGCUUCUCGAGGCACCGGUGGGCCCGCGUCCAUCAAGCUCACCCCCCCAGUUUGACCUCGGAUCAGGUAGGGAUACCCGCUGAACUUAAGCAUAUCAAUAAGCGGAGGA
rnacentral:misc_RNA from 1 species